AUACGGAGGAUCCGAGCGUUAUCCGGAUUUAUUGGGUUUAAAGGGUGCGCAGGCGGCCAUUUAAGUCAGCGGUUAAAUCGUGGGGCUCAACCCCAUUCUGCCGUUGAUACUGGGUGGCUUGAUUGCGGUCGAGGUUGGCGGAAUUCGUUGUGUAGCGGUGAAAUGCAUAGAUAUGACGAAGAACACCGAUUGCGUAGGCAGCUGACCAGACCGCAAAUGACGCUCAUGCACGAAAGUGCGGGGAUCGAACAGGAUUAGAUACCCUGGUAGUCCGCACAGUAAACGAUGAAUACUUGUUUUCGGCGAUAUAAUGUCGGAGGCAAAGCGAAAGCGAUAAGUAUUCCACCUGGGGAGUACGCAGGCAACGGUGAAACUCAAAUGAAUUGACGGGG
rnacentral:rRNA from 1 species